ACGUUGGUGGCAUAAUGGUUAGCAUAGCUGCCUUCCAAGCAGUUGAUCUGGUUCGAUUCCCAGCCAACACA
rfam:Loxodonta africana unplaced genomic scaffold scaffold_6, whole genome shotgun sequence.